ensembl:lncRNA
CGGAAUUUUAAGUUUCCCGUUACUCGACACCAGACCGUGGGGACCGGGGGAAGUUACCUCUCCCCAGAGCUGUCCUGGCAAGCGCACAAAGGUGCCCGCGUCGCCUCGCAGCUGGGAGCCGCGCUACCUCGCUGCAAUUACCCAGCGCAGCGUUUCCUAUUCACAGACACUGAAUUAAUCCUUAUUCAAGAAUAGAAAUUUUUUUCUUUACGGUUUUGUUUUCGCGGCCUCAUUUUUCUCAUUAGCAACAAAGUUUUCUUCCCCCCCUCCUCCCCUUCCCCCCCACCUCGUCUCGCCCAUCACAAUUUUAUCAUCCAUUAAAGUAAAGCACAGUGGGGUGGGUUGGUAUUCUCGUUUUCUUUCUUUUAAGCGCCAGCGAUCGUUCAACGCAAUCAUUUAAUCAUCCCGGGUAAUUUUCUUCACCCAGAAACAGACGUGAUUUAUUUAAAAAUGGGGCUGAUGGCGUGCGAAAGUUGCCCGCUGGGGCAGAGCCCGCGGCGGAGCGGCAGCACCGUGCUGGCCGGGGCAGCGCUGCCCGCAGCCCGCCCGGGCCGCUCGGAGCUCAGCGGGGCCAGGAAGCGAGGCCGCGGUGCCCGGCAGAGGGACAGAGAUGUAGCGGGACAGACGGAGGGAAGGGCUCGGAGGCCAGUUUUACUUGGCAGCAGAAGGUGUGACUUUGUAGCACGACAGUUCUGUCUUGCUGUCUCCUUGCCAGUGUUCCAUAGCUCUGCAGGUUACAGUUAAUAUUGGAAUGGUUACCCUGAGCAAGUCCCUGUGUCCCUUUGACAGUGGCCUAGGAGAUGCCUGGAAGAUGGUGAGUGCAUGGUGGCUCCUUCCAGGGAAGAUCUUGUUCCAGGGACGUGGGGUACCAGGAUGCCCUGAACCACAAUUUUCAGUGACUGAAAUAUUUUACAGGUAAUGAGGUGUAGGAAUGAUAGUGAUUAAAAUGACAUUUCUAGUUUACAUAAUACUGUUUUGUCCUACCACAAAUCUCUUCAAUUUCCAUUUAAUCUUCUGUUUUAAUUUAGACAUGUAUUUUUGAAUCCACAAACUAAAUUUCUUAAGAGGCAAAAUUUCUCAGUCAUAUGGGAAGGGGAGCAGAAGAGUGAUAAAAGGAGAGCAGGAAAGAGGAAUUUUCUUUCAUGCCUGUCUAGCAUGGCAGGAGCUGGAGAGGAACACGCCCAUGGGGGUUGCAGUCACUUUGUGCAAUGCUCUGUGUGGUGAGUGAGUCCAGCAUCUUGUAAGACACAGAGAAUGCAGUGAGAGCACCACUGGAGAGCUGCAAAGUAAGAAAGCGAUGCCAUCUUUCUUUGUAUAGCAGUUAGUUAGUUAACCCAAGCUGCAAGCUCUUCUGAACUUUCAGAAGUUACUGUCACUUCUAGAAGGAGCUUUAAAAUCAGGUUAGAUGGGCACCAAAAACAUGUCCAUGCCCAUGUUAUACCUGGUCACCUCUGCUAGUAAGGAAGAUUCUCUCUAGAAAGAUCAACCCUGAAACUUCUGGUGCUAUUUCAUUUCAAAAGAAGUCUCUCCAUGUUAACAGACAUUUACAUCAUCUGUACAGACAGCUCUCUUGACCAGCACAGUGCUGAAGUGCAAAGGUCUAUUUUCAUUAUUUAAAGGUCUUAAAAAUGCAGCAUCACAGUGUCAGGUGGGUGUAGCAGAAGCCCUGAAGCACCUGGCAUCAGGUGGUGCAACAUGAGAACUAUUUAGAAUUGAAUAUGGAAAGCAAAAAAUGGAGUGGUCUGGCACACUAUAAUGGAUUUAACCCUGCCCAUCACUACUUUCAUUCUUUUUCCUCAUCUUUUUUAUUAAAAAUUAUUCCAAAGUGAAAGCAGUGAGACUAAUCAGAUGAACGAUAAGAAUUUUUUCAAAGCACUGCCUGUUUUGAAAAUUAGCUUUUUCUAGCAGUGAAUAACUCUGAAUUGCUUUACUUUCACCAGGAUUGUAAAAUGUCAGUUAAUACUUAGUGAAGCUAACAUUUGUUUCAUAUGUACAAUAACUAAGUGGAUAAUCAUAUUCAGUACAAAUGUGAGUUCAUAUGAACCCCAUCUUUCUGGUGGUUAGAGGAUCCAUAGAAAGCAAAUUAUGUAGAGAGAGACAGAACAGAUUUCAGAGGUUUAUGUGUCUAUUUACUUGUCUAGGAUGAGUACUGAGUCCUCUCAGCACCUUGUGGCAGAGCUGUGGCUGCUGAGCACAGGGAUGUCUGUGCUGGUUAAAUCACCACAGCUCAGCUGGGGAACCCUGAACACCAGCACAGACCUCUGGUGCUGAUACACAUAAAACAACUUAACCCCACUGCUUAACUCAGCUGAACUUAUUUUGGCUUCUAGCACUGAAGAGUGCCUGAGAGCUGCACAGACAACUUUUGUAGUGCUGGAUCUGGCUGUUUAAGGUGUUACUUUAUUUCCCUUUCAGUUCAGCUGUUUAUUCCUGUCUGCUGAGAUUUCUCCCCCUUCCAUAUCUGAAUGAGUGGAAUAGAUCUCAUGAGCACUCUUCAUUCAUAUCACCACAAAGACUGAGCCAAUUCUUAUUUGGUUCCUUAUUUAAGAUAGGAAAGAGUCCAAAAUGUACUGGGCAGGUUUGCAAAGCUUAAGGAGAUCAUUUUACAAAAGGAGGUAGAGCUUAUGUAUCAGUGAGUCAGGCAGAAAAGAAUUCAUAAAGGUACAGCUUGUUUGAGCCAGAAUUUCACGAGGUGUUACCUUCCAAACCAAGCCUCCUAAAGGAACAACUGCCUACAAAAUAGGCUUAGCUUAAAAUGCCACUGAAGUAUGUCUAAAUUUGCACUGAAGUGGGGGGAGAACACUCCAUAAUUUGUCCUGUUGUGACAGGGCACAGCAGUAACAGCUUAAAACACGGAGGCUAUUACUUCAGCAGUCUCCUUACUGACAUCAGACAGGCACCUAGAGUCUCUUUUCUUGCAUGACCUACACAAAAAGUAGACUGGGCCCCUGUGUUCUCUCCUGGAUCUUAAGAAGUUAUUAAACCAAUUCCUUCUUUUGAAAGCUGUAUGCAUUCAUGCUGGCAUCCUCAAUAAAGCUGGGACACAAACAAAAAAAGCA